rnacentral:rRNA from 2 species
UAAGUGUUGGAGGGUUUCCGCCCUUCAGUGNUGCAGCUAACGCAUUAAGCAUUCCGCCUGGGGAGUACGGCCGCAAGGCUGAAACUCAAAGGAAUUGACGGGGGCCCGCACAAGCGGUGGAGCAUGUGGUUUAAUUCGAAGCUACGCGAAGAACCUUACCAGGUCUUGACAUACUAUGCAAAUCUAAGAGAUUAGACGUUCCCUUCGGGGACAUGGAUACAGGUGGUGCAUGGUUGUCGUCAGCUCGUGUCGUGAGAUGUUGGGUUAAGUCCCGCAACGAGCGCAACCCUUAUUAUCAGUUGCCAGCAUUAAGUUGGGCACUCUGGUGAGACUGCCGGUGACAAACCGGAGGAAGGUGGGGAUGACGUCAAAUCAUCAUGCCCCUUAUGACCUGGGCUACACACGUGCUACAAUGGAUGGUACAACGAGUUGCGAACUCGCGAGAGUAAGCUAAUCUCUUAAAGCCAUUCUCAGUUCGGAUUGUAGGCUGCAACUCGCCUACAUGAAGUCGGAAUCGCUAGUAAUCGCGGAUCAGCAUGCCGCGGUGAAUACGUUCCCGGGCCUUGUACACACCGCCCGUCACACCAUGAGAGUUUGUAACACCCAAAGUCGGU